GAUGAAGAACGCAGUGAAAUGCGAUAAGUAAUGUGAAUUGCAGAAUUCAGUGAAUCAUCGAAUCUUUGAACGCACAUUGCGCCCGCCAGUAUUCUGGCGGGCAUGCCUGUUCGAGCGUCAUUUCAACCAUCAAGCCCCCGGGCUUGUGUUGGGGACCUGCGGCUGCCGCAGGCCCUGAAAAGCAGUGGCGGGCUCGCUGUCACACCGAGCGUAGUAGCAUACAUCUCGCUCUGGGCGUGCUGCGGGUUCCGGCCGUUAAACCACCUUUUAACCCAAGGUUGACCUCGGAUCAGGUAGGAAGACCCGCUGAACUUAAGCAUAACAAUAAGCGGAGGA
rnacentral:misc_RNA from 1 species